CAGAGACACGAGAACAGACUUGCCUUACAUACUGUGACCUGUUGUAUAUGAAAAACACAAGAAAUAAACACGAGGGAGACCAAGGAUAAGUAAAAACUGUAUAAACAAGGGAGCUUCAACUUCGGGUGUGAGAUCGCAUUUUGGGACGUCUCAAACUGUGGGGAUCUCGUGUGGUGGAACAAUAAAACUUGGACCUUGCUUUUCCUCACUCUCUGGUUCCGUGUGGUACUUUACUCUGCACCCGGCAAUUGGUUGAAAGGAGCAUGUGACUGCAAGGUGGAGUGGCAGAAACACACACGGCUGGCAGCUAAUGAGUGGAGCGGCUUCUCCUCAGUGUCCUGCAGGAGACAGAUGCCAAUGACAACAGUAGAGAAGAAGCUCCUCCAGUGUGUCUGUGUUCUGACUGUCGCAGUCUAGAGUAGCUACAAGAAAGAAACGAGCACUUCCAGUUCCACAGCACCCCCCUGUGGAGAAACUCCAUCCAUCUCUUAAAACCAGUCAGUGUAUGUGGCCCUUCAGCUCAGAACCCUCCUCUACGAAGAUUCCAGAUGACACCAACACCUGCGAAGAUGAUGAUACCAAAGUCUAAUCAUCACAAUCACAAGCUCUACACAUGUUGCCCCUGAGGUAGCAGUGGGCCUGACCCAUUCUGCUCUGACCGGCCUGAUCUGUCCUGGUGCCCUGCUUCUGGAGUUCUUGUCACUUGGACGCCACUCACUGUUGCUGAGGAUGGCCCGAUAUGGACAUCCUUGGGACACACUUGGAAGCUGUGAAGAUGGCAUUGGACUGCAAUUGAUGUGGGUAGUUUUGGUGCUGUGUCUUGUGACUGUGGUUGCAGUUCGGUGACAUUUUUGGAACUGCAACUGCCACAAUUACACAAACAGACUUUCAGGUCUCCAUCGGUGGACAGUUCAUUACUCCAGCGGAAUAGACUUCAUGUUGAGACUGUGGUGAAUUUCAUGAUUACACAGUUGCACUUCUUGUUUAUCAUGUAGCACACAGUUAGAGAAGGGAUUUAUUUAUAAUCGCACUAUCUGGUGUCACCCAGAUGAGGACGGGUUCCCGUUUGAGUCUGGUUCCUCUCAAGGUUUCUUCCUCAUAUCGUCUCAGGGAGUUUUUCUUUGCCACCGUUGCCUCUGACUGCUCAUUAGGGAUAAAUGCCUCAAUUUAAAAUUUAGAUCUAAUAUUUAUAUAUUUCUGUAAAGCUGCUUUGUGAUAAUGUCCAUUGUUAAAAGCACUAUACAAAUUAAGCUAAACUGAAUUGAAUUGAAAUAGUCCUUAUUUUUGCAGGAUCUCUGUGUUUAAUUAUUCAUUCCCUCUCAUUAGUUUUACUUUUUAAUCAUUCCUCCACUGGAACCCUAAAACCCAUCCCACAUCUCUUCACAUAUCACAGUGCAGGUCCUCUGGUCAUUUCAAUUUGAAAAUAAAAUUGCACCAAUAACUAAUGAUAUGAUCAGCAGAGUAACCCCCAUCACAGAGACAGUUUAGUAUUUCAUCAGCUAAUGAGAAGAUGUUGUUUGUAAUGACAGCUUCAAGAUGCUUCCUGUAUGAAGAAACGAAUCAGCCGCAGUAUUCAGGUGUGAUUUUGGCCCGUUCUUCUAAACACAAUGUCUUUAAAUCUGUUUUCUUCCAACCUAAAGCCCUGAAAUCAGUCGUGAUGGCUCAUAGCUCUCAGUGCUCUCUUGCCCUCCAGGUUUUCUCCUGUCUUCUCCAAAAGACAACCAGAAUGGGCUAGCUCAAUGAAUGAUCUAUGUUUUUAAACUUAUAAUACAUUUCAUUUUUUUCCAUUUUAUUUUUUAAAUGUAUGUAUUUUAUAACAUUCCCAUCUCAUUAUUACUUUCUAUUUACUUUAUAAUUUUUCUUUCUAUCACUCUAUUCUCCCGUUUACUUUAACUAACACUUUGAAUAAUUUAUUUUUAACCUCUCUAUCUAUAGCCUUCAAGUUAGUCCUUAUCUAACUUCAUGCAAUUCUGCUUUAUAACUUUAUACCAACUGUAACCAACCAAGGAUGAAUAAACCACAUGACACAAACACACUUGUUUAAGUUUGAACACUUUUAUUGAUGCUUUAGCGUUGUCAUAAUUCAGGUUUCAUGGAGGACGUUCAUGUUCUUCUCAUUCGUGAUGUUUCCUCACCGUUUGUUCGUGAUGGAUUUGGAAGUGGAGCUGACGACUUUGCCGUCCACCACCUCCUCCACCACUGUCACCACCUUGCGCUUGGAGCUGGAGCUGGAGCUGGAGCUGCUGCACACACACACACACACACACACACACAAAAUACAUAUUUUUACUCUUACUGCACAUUUUGGUCUAGUUAGCUAGCUAGCCAGUUUACAAAGUAACUACCUAGCAGUGUGUCUUGUACAGAUGGAAAGUGAGAAAUGGAAAGUGGAAAGUGUGUCAGGCCACUGCAAUGCAUCUCACCUUACACCUUCUCCAUCCAGCAGUCUCCUGUACUCGGCGAUCUCCAUUUCAAGUCUGGCCUUGAUGUCCAGCAGCACCUGAUACUCCUGAGACUGACGCUCCAGAUCAGCCCGAAGCUGCACCAGCUGCUCCUCCAUACUCGUCACCUGCUGCUGGUAGCCUCCUAGUUUGGCUGAAUAACGUGCCUUUGUGUCUGCUAGAGUGUGUUCCAGCGACGCUUUCUGCAAAGAAGAAUGUUGGUUUAAUAAAUGAGCACUCAAAGCUGGUAAUAAUCAUUUAUAAUCCUAAUUAGCAUUUCUUUAAUAGUAAUACUAGCUAGUUUUGUUUGACAUUGCUAGUACUAUUAGCUAUUUUGCAAUAUGACCGAUAUUAGUUAGUUAUAUUAGAAUUGCUUCAGUAGUGGUUAACAUUGCUACAAUGGACCCAUAAUACCAUAAAAAAAAUAUUUAAAAUAUUUCUACAGGCAUAAUGCUAGCCAUGUUAGUUUAACAUUGUAAGUAUUGCUAGCCAAUUGUCCAUGAUAGCAGCAUUACCUGCGUGUAAAUGUUCAUGUCUAGGAAGUGUUUAAUUUUAAGUAUUGCUACAGCUGUAAUGUGGACUAUCUUUGUUUAGCAUUGUUAGUAAUGUUAGCUAAUUUGCAGUAUGACCUAUACUAUCCAAUACUUUUGUUUAGAAUUGCUUCUAUAUUGGUAAACUUUACUAUACUACUUAUGUUAUGCUAGCUAUCAUUGUUUAACAUUGCAAAUGAUGUUAGCUAUUUUGCAGUAUGAUGUGAGCUAGUUUUAUUAGAAAGCUUAGAAUUGCUUCAUGAGGAGUGAAUUUGCAUUGCAUAUUUUUAGCAAUGCAGUAGUGAUGCUAGCUGAUUGUCUAGAGUAUAAAUGUAGAAAUGUUAUUCUUCACCAUGCUGAGUUGUGACUGCAGCUCGAUCUCCAGCGCCUGCAGCAUUCGCUUCAAAUCUGUGGUUUCAGAUUUGCUGGUAUGGAGCGUUUCUGUGCUGCUGACGACUUCUUUGUUCAGUUCCUCGCUCUGGAGAAAAAACAUUCAUGGCAGUGUUUAACAAGACAAGUCUGAAGUUGUAUCACAGUGCAAACACUUGUACAAGGAAAUUAAUUUUUUUUUUUUUUACCUUGGUCUGGAACCAAGCUUCGAGUUCACGGUUGUUUUUAGUGGCAGCAGCCUCAUAGUGCUCGCGGAUCUCAGCCAUGACUUUGCUGAGG